GCCAGGCACGGUGACACAUGCCUGCAAUCCCAGCGGCUGGGGAGGCUGAGACAGGAGGAUCUUGAGUUCAAAGCCAGCCUCAGCAAUGGCGAGGCCCUAGAGUCAAUGAGACCCUGUCUCUA
rnacentral:sRNA from 1 species